ensembl:lncRNA ITGA9-AS1 ITGA9 antisense RNA 1
AGGGGAGCGGGGCCGACACAGGACUGCAGUUGACAGCAGAUAACUGAAAGCUCGGAAAGCGAAACCGUGGAUAAGCAGGGGAACUGUGGCAUCCCAUUUAAAAUUGCUUCUGAAGAGAAGCAUGAGGUUACAUCUGUAAUCUCCCUGCAGCAGAGUCAACUGCAUAAGAAACCAAAAGACACACCUGCUCCAUGCCAGGUCUGUUCUGAAAAAUUGAGAAGAUGAUCUAUCUUCACUUCAAAAAGAAAUCUCUAAGGAGCAAGUGGACACAGCCUGCCUCCCAUAAGCUGUCUGGCUCACUCAUUUUAUUCCUGGAAAUCAGAAGUCAAUCAUUUCCUGAGAAAUGAGGAAAAAGAUGGAGGUCACAGAGACCAGUAAGAGCAAGGAGGGAGAGGAAAAAGCUGAACAUGAAACUCGAGGAAGAAACAGAAUAUGCAGAGGAAUAAAAAAAAUCAUGCCCAGGGCAUAACCUUAAAAAGCAGAGUCAUCAUGGAGCCACAUGUCUUCUUGGCAGCCAGGCAGGCAUCCAAGAGUCACAGACAUACCCACAAGAUUCACUCAAGUCUUGCGGCUCUGGGAAACGUCCUUCUUAAUUGAUCCUUGUCGUAACUACAGCUCUGUUGACAUUUCUAAAGCAAAACAUAGCCUUCCUUCCAAACGCAGUGAAUACACAAAUGAAGCUUUUCAUAUACGUGAAAGCUGAGCCCCGCGGCGGAAUACUGAAGCCGCCUUGUGAUUUGAAAUGGACAUCUGCGUUUCUCCACCACUUCCUCACUGCCGACUGCCGCAGGAAGCGCCCAGCCUGUCUCCCAGGCAGUUUCACUCAAGGCUGGGCUCUCCCUGAUGCAAGGGCCACAGGUAAUCCAGGUGAGGAAAUACAAACACAGGCUGGGGGUGCCUGCUCCCCGCCACCUUCUCUUGUCCUCUCAAGGAGGAAGGGAAGGGCCUGCAGAAGCAACUGAGAAACACUGAAGGGUCUCUGAGGAAUGCCGAGUUUCCAUCUGAUAAGCGGAUGGGGAAGACCAACAAAGCAAGAUAAAGAGCUUGCUGUUGUGUUAGAGCCUCGAGUGGGCUUCCAGCCAGGUGAGGCUUUUCUACCUGGCGUUAUACAGGAAGUUCAAGGUAAAGUCACCAGGGGGCUUGGGGCACUGGAUUAAAGACAGGAAGGGGGCGGAAAAGACUUAUUAUUUUCUAAGUAUCGGCAUCCACCCUCAGGGCUCUCUUACCAGGGCAAGCAGCAAGUUCAUUCAUCAUCUUAAUGGCCAGGCCAAGAUGACUAUAA